UCGCAUAUCGACCGCGACC
rnacentral:rRNA from 1 species